CUCCCCGAAAGCUAUUUAGGUAGCGCCUCGUGAACUCAUCUCCGGGGGUAGAGCACUGUUUCGGCUAGGGGGCCAUCCCGGCUUACCAACCCGAUGCAAACUGCGAAUACCGGAGAAUGUUAUCACGGGAGACACACGGCGGGUGCUAACGUCCGUCGUGAAGAGGGAAACAACCCAGACCGCCAGCUAAGGUCCCAAAGUCAUGGUUAAGUGGGAAACGAUGUGGGAAGGCCCAGACAGCCAGGAUGUUGGCUUAGAAGCAGCCAUCAUUUAAAGAAAGCGUAAUAGCUCACUGGUCGAGUCGGCCUGCGCGGAAGAUGUAACGGGGCUAAACCAUGCACCGAAGCUGCGGCAGCGACACUCAGGUGUUGUUGGGUAGGGGAGCGUUCUGUAAGCCUG
rnacentral:rRNA from 1 species